rnacentral:rRNA from 1 species
ACUCCUACGGGAGGCAGCAGUGGGGAAUAUUGCACAAUGGGCGCAAGCCUGAUGCAGCCAUGCCGCGUGUAUGAAGAAGGCCUCGGUUGUAAGUACUUUCUAGCAGUGAGGAAGGUGGGUAGUGUUAAUAGCAUACUCAUUUUGACGUUUUAGCUGCAGAAGAAGCACCGGCUAACUCCGUGCCAGCAGCCGCGGUAAUACGGAGGGUGCGAGCGUUAAUCGGAAUUACUGGCGUAAAGCGCAUGCAGGUGGUUUGUUAAGUUCAGAUGUGAAAGCCGGGGCGUCAACCUCGGAAUUGCAUUUGAAACUGGCAAACUAGAGUACUGUAGAGGGGGUAGGAAUUUACUAGGU